rnacentral:lncRNA from 13 species
UCCCCACACUGUUAGGAAAUCAAAGCCAAAGGGAAGCUUCACAUGAAGAGCAAUCAAGUCAUUUAGCCCUCAGCCUGAUGACCACCCUACUGACUGCUGACCAUGUGAGUGAGCCAUCAUAAAAGCAAAUCCUUCAGUUUCAACUAAGCCUCAGUUGAGGAUGCCUGGGAUAGAAACAAGUCUUUCCACAGAGAUCUUUCAAAACUGCAUAUUGUAGACAGAAUGGAGAGAACAGCAGGAGGUAUUUGAAUGUUACCUAAAGGUUCAAGCUUUUCUGAGAUUACAACAUACCUCCUCCUACAAAAAAGGAUGUGACUUGCUCCUUCUUGCCUUCUACCAUGACUGUGAGGCCUCCCCAGCCACAUGGAACUUUCUCCUGGAGCUUCCAUGAAGAUACAGUCUGCACUGCCUGCAGACAUGGACACCAAGACUUUAAACAUGGGUGAUAUCCACAGAGGUCACUUGUGUCUUGCUGCUUUGCUGAUGGUUUGUGGGUCCCUGACCAUGUGCUGUCAGCAUCAGGGCAGAGUUGGAGAAACUGAUUUUUUUACCAAGGCUUUGACUGGAAGGGUAUGCUUCCCUUUAAGGAAUCAAGCUCAACUUGCAGAGCCAAUAAAAGCCUCUUGGGAAAACUGGCUUCAUACCUUGUCUACACAGUCCCCCUACAGUGCUUCUAAACUGUGUGGCAGAAACAACUCUUCCAUCCCUUCCAUAUGGAAACUACUCUCAACUUGUCUGAAGAACCCAUUAUGGCCUCACCAGUGGUAAGUACCUUACAGGAAAUUGCUACUCCUCC